rnacentral:lncRNA from 1 species
GCCCAUGUUUCUCUCUGGAAUUGAAGUCACAAGAUGGAAAAUUAUUCAUAAUUGCAAUCAUAACAUACCAUACAAUAGAGAGUUUCCUGCCAAGGAAACUUUGAUUUCAAAGACCUUACGCAAGUCGCAUGUAGUCGUGACUAUUUUUUUUUUGCAAGAAGCUCCUGCCAGCCUUCAAACUCAACACAACCCAGGUGAUAUCCACAUCAUGGGUACUACCAAGAUUUUCCUGCUCCUUCUCUCAGUGGCCCUGUUGGCCCUGAGCUCAGCUCAAGGAACACCCAAGGAAGCCCCAAGACAGCAACCUGCUGAACCUGAACCAGCCCCAAGGCAACAAACUAGGAAAAGUAAAGACGCAGAAGAGCCAGGCGACCCACCUGAAGGAGAACCAGGCGAACCACCUGAAGGAGAACCAGGUCCACCACCUGAAGGAGAACCAGGCGAACCACCUGAAGGAGAACCAGGUCCACCACCUGAAGGAGAACCAGGUGCACCACCUGAAGGAGAACCAGGUGCACCACCUGAAGGAGAACCAGGUGCACCACCUGAAGGAGAACCAGGUGCACCACCUGAAGGAGAACCAGGUGCACCACCUGAAGGAGAACCAGGUGCACCACCUGAAGGAGAACCAGGUGCACCACCUGAAGGUAAGUAGUAUGUCUAUCUCUAAACACUCCUUUCUUUCCCCGUUCCUUGAGGACCCUAGACCUUGUUCUCAUUUGAAACCAUUUGGCACAUCCACUCUUAAAGUUCAGUACCAAGAAAGAGAGGGUAAUAAUGAACUAGGAGGGUGGUCAGGUUAAAAGGCUUUGUUUUCUCUUGCCAUUGCAUAGCUCACAUAUUUCCACCAGAGAUUUUCCCAGAUCAAAAAUCCAAAAUGAUUUUCUCAUCUUUUCCUAAAGCAUAGUUUGCUUUUUUCCAUUGCCUAAUACCCUAGAUCAAAGAUUUCAAGAUCACUUUGUAAUAUUUAAUGCAAUGUUCUCUUCAUGUCUCUGCAGUGUGGGUAUUUCUCUCUCUCUUUCUCUGUGUUUUCACAGUCCCUCUGUGUCUGGUCUUUCUCUGAAUUGAUAUCUUUAUCUCUCUGUCUCUGUCUUGCUUUUUCUCUGCCUUUGUCUCUCCCUCUGUCUCUCUCUCUUUCACACACACACACACACACACACACACACACACACACACACAUGCACACACACAUUUUCUCUGUA